CCCCCGCCCGCCCGAGCCUCGGCCGCGGGCCUCCCUCCUCCGUUAUCCCGCUCGCCCGCGCAACUCACACAACCCUCCUCAUUCGACCUACCCCCGUUGGGCACGUCUCGCAGGCAGGCUUGCGUUGGGGCCGUUUACUUCCCUUCGACUAGACAACCAGGCCCCGCGGGGCUGGGGCUGCGGGCUCUCCUCCCCACCCGGCACACGCGGGCACAGCGCGGUUACCCGGGUUACUCAAAAGGAAGAGGCCGCUUGAACUGAGAAAAGCACAACGUGUGAAUGCGGUGGCUUCUGGGGAGAAGGGGCCAUUGUAUUGUAACUGUGAAUCUGCAGCAGUAAUCUUUCUGGCUUUGUCCUAGCUUUUGGCCAACUGGGUGCUUAAUACAUGCAUGUCGAAUGAACAAAUAAAAAGAAGUCUUCACAGCUGUUUGAUCCCCGUAUCCUUAUGUCUCUAAGGUACGGGUGCUGUGAUGAUUAAUUUCCAGCCUCGAGUAUAAAAUAUCUACUGAACAAUGAAUGUCCACUCCAUGAGAAACACAGAGGCAUGGUGAGUACCACAAUCAUGAAGACAACACGGCCUUAUCUUUCUAAAGCUUCCAAGCUAGACAGAUAUGGACACGACUAAAAUACAAGGCACAGUGAGUUGUGCCAUGAGGGAAAUGCAUGUGGCUGUAUAAUGCACAAAGUACAGUUAUGAGAAGGUUCUUUAGGAUCCUAAAAUCUUCACAAAGGAAACAUGUAAAAUUUGCAUAUAAAAGCCAGCAAAUACACAUAAAUGUUCAUUGAGCUAUCAGGGAAGCAGCUUAUUAAGUUUUGACAUCAAGUAAAGGGUGACUACCAACUAAGCCUUCUUCAGUGUUCUCAUUCCUGAGUUUUUGUUUUUUAAACUAUGUUGGUGUGUGGAGAAAAGUGAAUAUACUUUAGAAUCAUAUACACUUGGUUUGAAUUCAGGUACUACCAUUUUACUAGCUGUGUGAACAUGGUCAAAUCAUUUAACCCCAGCACCUCUCAUUAAAUGUAAAAGUAGGGUGAUACCACCUACUCUGUAAAAGCGUCUGGGACAAAUUUGAUAGUGAGCAAACUAGCAGUGCACUGGUCCACAGUAGGUGUUGUUAGCUAGCUUCCUUCUUGCCUCUUCUCAUUUGACCUGGGAUUGGAUGAGGAGAACUCAAACAUUUAACUGAACUAUUUAUUCCUUUGUCUCUAAGCAUGGCUUUUCCCCACUAAAAAAGCAUUGAUUGUCCAUAACUUGAUCAUCUCCUGCACUGUGUCCUGCAGUGCCUCCAGGCUGUCCCCGUUCUACUUUCCUAACUCUCCUUUCCUAAAUGUAUCUCCUCACUAUUAUCCAAUAAAAAUGAAACACUCAUACUUGUGUUUCUCUGAAUGUUUUGAACUUUC